GGCUUCAGCGUUGUUCAUGCGACAGCGGUGACCGAAGGGAUGAUCGAGGCCCCGAACAGAGAACAUGUGCCUCUGUACGGGAAGGAACAAUGUGCCGUGCAAGAAAUCAAGGAUUCAUGUCCCUCAGGCAAAUGACUUUGCUCCUCAGCGGAUUUCUCGUGGUUGAGCAUUGGUGCCCGACGGAAACACGACGCGACAAAUUGUACCGAUGCGUAUGGCGGGAAAACGCAGCAGGUCGUCCACCGAGUCCACGUGGUCCUCGGUGUCCUUGACGAGCAGGCUUCCCUUGAGCUCGCCUCCGAGGCUGGACAUGAGCACGAGCAUGGCCAGGAACCAGAAGCAGAGCAGCACACGCCCGAACUCGCUCGAGGUGCGCUUGUUGCAGCCUGCAAUCGUGAAUGGCGCCCGAAAGAGUUGCUACGAGACUUGCUUUCUUGG